AGAGUUGAUCCUGGCUUAGGAUGAACGCUAGCGACAGGCUUAACACAUGCAAGUCGAGGGGCAGCAUAGAAGUAGCAAUACUUCGGUGGCGACCGGCGCACGGGUGAGUAACGCGUAUGCAACCUACCUAUCAGAGGGGAAUAACCCGGCGAAAGUCGGACUAAUACCGCAUAAAACAGGGGCACCGCAUGGUGAUAUUUGUUAAAGAAAUUCGCUGAUAGAUGGGCAUGCGUUCCAUUAGGUAGUUGGUGAGGUAACGGCUCACCAAGCCGACGAUGGAUAGGGGAACUGAGAGGUUGGUCCCCCACACUGGUACUGAGACACGGACCAGACUCCUACGGGAGGCAGCAGUGAGGAAUAUUGGUCAAUGGGCGGGAGCCUGAACCAGCCAAGUCCGCGUGAAGGAAGAAGGAUCUAUGGUUCGUAAACUUCUUUUGCAGGGGAAUAAAGUGCAGGACGUGUCCUGUUUUGUAUGUACCCUGAGAAUAAGGAUCGGCUAACUCCGUGCCAGCCGCCGC
rnacentral:rRNA from 1 species